UGGGAACGUGCCCUUCAGUUCGGAACAACCCAGGGAAACUUGGGCUAAUACCGGAUACGUCCGUAAGGAGAAAGAUUUAUCGCUGAAGGAUCGGCCCGCGUCUGAUUAGCUAGUUGGUGAGGUAAUGGCUCACCAAGGCUACGAUCAGUAGCUGGUCUGAGAGGAUGAUCAGCCACAUUGGGACUGAGACACGGCCCAAACUCCUACGGGAGGCAG
rnacentral:rRNA from 1 species